CUCUAAGGGCAUUUGGUGGAUGCCUUGGCGUUGAGAGGCGAUGAAGGACGUGACACGCUGCGAUAAGCCAUGGGGAGCUGCGAGUAAGCUUUGAUCCGUGGAUUUCCGAAUGGGGAAACCCGGCCAUUUAGGUCAUCCCGCAAGGGAAGCGAACCUGGGGAACUGAAAUAUCUAAGUACCCGGAGGAAAGGACAUCAACCGAGACUCCGUUAGUAGUGACGAGCGAACGCGGACCAGGCCAGUGGCUUGAUAGAAGAUAACCAGAAGCGUCUGGAAAGGCGCGCCAUAGUGGGUGAUAGCCCCGUAUGGGUAAUGCUUUCUUCAAGUCCUUGAGUAGGGCGGGACACGUGAAAUCCUGUCUGAACAUGGGGGGACCACCCUCCAAGCCUAAGUACUCCUCAACGACCGAUAGCGAACCAGUACCGUGAGGGAAAGGUGAAAAGCACCCCGAUGAGGGGAGUGAAAGAGACCCUGAAACCGAACGUCUACAAUCAGUGGAAGACCGCAAGGUCGACCGCGUACCUUUUGUAUAAUGGGUCAGCGACUUAAUGUAUGUAGCAAGGUUAACCAGAUAGGGGAGCCGUAGGGAAACCGAGUUUUAACCGGCGUUAGUUGCAUGCAUUAGACCCGAAACCGGGCGAUCUAUCCAUGAGCAGGUUGAAGGUUGAGUAACAUCAACUGGAGGACCGAACCCACUGUCGUUGAAAAGCCAGGGGAUGACUUGUGGAUCGGAGUGAAAGGCUAAUCAAGCUCGGAGAUAGCUGGUUCUCCCCGAAAGCUAUUUAGGUAGCGCCUCGGACGAAUACCACAGGGGGUAGAGCACUGUUUCGGCUAGGGGGUCAUCCCGACUUACCAACCCGAUGCAAACUCCGAAUACCUGUGAGUACUAUCCGGGAGACACACGGUGGGUGCUAACGUCCAUCGUGAAGAGGGAAACAACCCAGACCGCCAGCUAAGGUCCCCAAAUACCAGUUAAGUGGGAAACGAUGUGGGAAGGCUUAGACAGCUAGGAGGUUGGCUUAGAAGCAGCCAUCCUUUAAAGAUAGCGUAACAGCUCACUGGUCUAAAUAAGUUGUCUUGCGGCGAAGAUGUAACGGGGCUCAAGCCAUGAGCCGAAGCUGAGGAUGCACAUAGUGCAUGGUAGCGGAGCGUAGUGU
rnacentral:rRNA from 1 species